rnacentral:rRNA from 1 species
AAUACGUUCCCGGGCUUGUACACACCGCCCGUCACACCACGAAAGUCGGCAACACCCGAAGCCGGUGGCCUAACCCUUUUGGGAGGGAGCCGUCGAAGGUGGGGUCGGUGAUUGGGGUG